CCUUCGAUAGCUCAGCUGGUAGAGCGGAGGACUGUAGACGCAAGUCCGCGGCCAUCCUUAGGUCGCUGGUUCGAUUCCGGCUCGAAGGA
rfam:Sus scrofa isolate TJ Tabasco breed Duroc chromosome 4, whole genome shotgun sequence.